rnacentral:antisense_RNA from 1 species
AUUGUGCAUUGGCCCGUGCCAGCACAUCCGAUGCAAGGCAUUUCACCGUAUUCUAUCUUUAAUUUUUACCAUGGUCCUCUGAGGUGAGACGUGGUCUUGUAACACAGUGGUUAAGAAUGUGACUUUGGAGCCAGCCUGCUAGGGGCUGAAUUCUGACUCAGCCAUUUAUUAACUGUGUGACCUUAGAUGGAGUCUCACUCUGUAGCCCAAGCUGGAGUGGCGUGAUCUCGACUCACUGCAACCUCCGCCUCCUGGGCUCAAGUGAUUCUCGUGCCUCAGCCUCCUGAGUAGCUGGGACUACAGGUCAUAGAAUUUUCCACACUCCUUGACGGAGGUUCUUAACCCUUAUCCAUCAGCAUUCUCAGACAGCACCUCCGGUUAGGGACAGUAUCUGACCGUCCGACAUCCCUGCAGCCCCCAUGCUGUCACACAGACUCAGCCUCAGGUAGAUGGUUUCCGUAGAUGGUGGCUUUCUUUGGACCCUUGAUAUCAACCAGUUACUAUUUGGGGACCAGAUGUGCAGAGGUAAUGAAUACCAGGGAAUCAGGAAACCACUGGAUCAGUUCUUUGAGCCAUAGAACAACACUCAUCCCAGCAGCUGGGAAGCUAUCUGCAAAAGUCCAUCUGCAGAAAGGGCUUCCUGGUCUUGCGUGUGGCUGGGCCAUUUCUCUGGAUGCAGGUUUUUCAUUAUACAGUCUUCUCAAAGGACCACCUGCUCUCAACACCUUCUCGGUGACUCCA